rnacentral:rRNA from 1 species
GACGAAUGCUGGCUGCGUGCUUGACACAUGCAAGUCGAACGGUGAAGGAGAGCUUGCUCUCCGGAUCAGUGGCGAUCGGGUGAGUAACACGUGGGCAACCUGCCCCUCACUCUGGGAUAACGCCGGGAAACCGGCGCUAAUACCGGAUACGACCAGGCGCGACAUCUCGCCUGGUGGAAAGAAUUUCGGUGAGGGAUGGGCCCGCGGCCUAUCAGCUUGUUGGUGGGGUAACGGCCCACCAAGGCGACGACGGGUAGCCGGCCUGGGAGGGCGACCGGCCACACUGGGACUGAGACACGGCCCAGACUCCUACGGGAGGCAGCAGUGGGGAAUAUUGCGCAAUGGGCGAAAGCCUGACGCAGCGACGCAGCGUGAGGGACGACGGCCUUCGGGUUGUAAACCUCUUUCAGCGGGGACGAAGCGAAAGUGACGGUACCCGCAGAAGAAGCACCGGCUAACUACGUGCCAGCAGCCGCGGUAACAC